UACGUAGGGUGCAAGCGUUGUCCGGAAUUAUUGGGCGUAAAGAGCUCGUAGGCGGUCUGUCGCGUCGGCUGUGAAAACCCGGAGCUCAACUCCGGGCCUGCAGUCGAUACGGGCAGACUGGAGUUCGGCAGGGGAGACUGGAAUUCCUGGUGUAGCGGUGAAAUGCGCAGAUAUCAGGAGGAACACCGGUGGCGAAGGCGGUUCUCUGGGCAUUACCUGACGCUGAGGAGCGAAAGUGUGGGGAGCGAACAGG
rnacentral:rRNA from 1 species